CUGGACUAGGGAUGCGCGGGACCGCAGAGCCGCGUGCUGGGGGCCACGUGCGCCCGUCCGCGCCUGCGCGCUGCGUCCCUCGCCACACCCAGCCCUUCCGCGCCCUAGAGCCGCCGGUCAAGGCGAUCGCGUCCUUUCGUCCUUGGGCGUCCAGGCCGAGGUGGCCGGAAGGACGUGCACUCUCCUUUAAUUACAGCUGAUACUUUUUGAGCUCUUCCUAAGGACCACGCACGUCUCCACGGGUUUACACAGCGGUAAAUCAAAUCUAUCGGCAUUCAUGUGAACCGUACACGUAGUGAUUUGGGACUGGAAUUUCACCCAGACGGGAGGAUUUCUCAAAGUUCAUUACAGGUUUUGGGUGCCCCCUUGAGUUCUGCCCCACAGACGAGUGCCUCACUCAUGGCAUUAACGGCAGCUAGUGCUUGAGCAGCAUUAAUGGAAGAUUUCUGUCCAGCCUGAGGGUCGUGGUCUGAAGAAUGGUGCUCAGUUCUGACCCAUCCAGACCUCCAAGCAGAAGGAGUGGGAAGGAAGCAGAGGACUUUGAGACUUGCUCCUCUGUUGGCUUCACCCAAGCCAGUUCCGACACACCGGGGCAGCCUGCCCUUUCCAAGGCUUGACAAUGUAAACGUGAUCAGUAGAAGUAGAGAUCGUCUACAUUUAAAAGAAAGAAACCCCAGAACCAAAAAACUGGGGCCCAAGUCACGAGAUCACCAUCCAUUGACACUAUUCAAUCUGCAGACACUUUUAGAAUCAGCUGGAAUAAUGUUAUGUAAAUUUCAUACAUAAAAAAAAUACCAUCAAGCCAUCUACUGAAGCUGGCAAGCUUGCAUCUCUAGUUAGCUACAGAUGGAGCUGGAGGCCUAUGUCCCUAGAGAGCCUGAAGACAAAUAGAAAUGAGAAUUAGUGGCAAAAAGAGUACUUAGUAAGGCUCAGGAGGACCUUAAUAAAUGUUUAUUGACUGGUGUUAGGAAAGAGUAUAAACCUAAAUGUGAUUUAUUCCCACUAGGGUAUUUAAACAUUUUAACAGUAAGGUUUAACAAAGGGCCACGUGGUAGAAGCUGCUCCGGCUGGGAGUGGGGGUGGGGGAAUUGAUAAGGGCCUGGCUGUACCUGUUUGAGUUUUUUUUAAACCUACCAAUAAGAUUAAGACAAAUGUAAAGGAAAGAUAUAACUGGCUUAGGCGACUUCCGGGGAAGAAUGUGAACCCUGUAGUACUCAGCCAAUGAGGAACCAGGGGAGGGACUUGCGCACUAGGAUAUAAAUUAUUGGCGCCAAACUCCCCAGAUGUGCCUGCCCACCGGACACCUGAUCUUGCAAGACCGUCAUUAAAGCCUCGCUCCGCUGUUC